GCUGCUACUGCUGCUGCUGGGGCGGAGUGAUGUCACAGGCACGUGACCGAAGCCAGAGGGCUCCUCCUUCCUGUCCCGAUCGCCGGAAAACCAGCUUUGGGGAGGGCUCUGCCCACUGGAAAGGGAAGACGACGACUCUCAGGCGGCGCUGGUGACAAAAGGCUCCGCUGGCUCCCCAGAAAAGCAGCUCUUUGGAGGGAUCUUUCCAGUCGAGAGCUUUGCUGCUUCCGCCCAAACCAUGACUGCCUUCGAAGAAGGAGAUGAAGCGUCAGCCCUGGUUGCUGGAAGAACAACCUGGAAGAAUCCGCUUGGCCAGCAGCAUCCAUGGCUUCUUCCACCCAGUGCCUGGUACCAGACCCCCGCCAGGGCUCCCAGCCCCACCAGCGUCCUAGCCGAGAUUCCCAAGCCUUCCCAGCCUUCAGCAUCACUAAGAAUUGGCGCAGGGCCUUUCUUGCAAUAUUCCUAAGCGGAGGCCGCCCUCUUGUGGCUCAGCCUCCAUACUGUAGUGCUAGGAUGAAUCUAGGUCACUCGCGUAUACACACACAUCUCCCGACGCCGGAAGACCAGCGUUUGGGGAGGUAGGUGUCCUCUAUUGAGGGGCAGAAGGGAAAGGGACACUGCUUGGGUUCAACCCAUCAUCACCUCCUCGGUAGGUGAUGAAGCCCUGCUGGUUUUUAAUCUGACCCUGAAAGCAGCGGAGACCUAUUUAAUAGAGAGAGCUUAGCAUCCUGGCUAGCCCUAGAUUAAGGCUGUUUGCAGUUCCUUGUCCAGCUGAGUCCAAGCCACCCCCAGCCAUAGCAAGAGGCUCUUUCUGGGGGGGGGGGGGGCAGUACAAGCCAUAAAGGAGGGGGGAGUUAGCCCUGUGAGACUAGGACUCUAGGAUGCAAACCAAGAGCAUACUCAGGGCUUACCAGGAGGCGGAUGAAAAAGGAUGCAGGCUCCUGUUUGGUCAGGCAAUGCCCUCUGUCUAAUCCAGCACAUGGGAAAGGCAGUCUCUGAUUGCCACGCCAUGUUUAAUGCUGGAAAUUGCAUGCCACCAUCAGAGAAAGUACAAAAUUCUCACCACUGAGGGUCAGCCCUGACCCCUUCCCUCCCUAACUGCCACCUGUGCCUUCUUCUUUUUCCUAUCCAGGAUUUACUACCUUGGGCUCCUAAGCAGCUUGGUCGUUUCUUAUGAGUGGAAAGCGAGCGCUGGCGCUUUCUGAUUUGUAAGCAAAGGGCACCGCCUUGUGGCUCAUCUGCCACACUGCACUUCCCUGGCCACUGUUGUCUGGCUGGGUUAGUCAUCCAGGCCCGAGAACAUACCCUGACCCCUAGAAAGCCAGCUUCCAAUAAAUUUCUAGUUUAGUUUCCUGGAAGAGGGGGCUCUUAACAUUUCCUCCCCCAUUUGCUGCUGCUUCCGCCCAAAGGGUUAUUUCUUCGCAAUCAGCAGCAGAUGCAGCUCCUGAGAGGAUGAGAGAGGGGGAUCUGCAGUCCAAUGGUAUCUAAGGGCUUCCAGGGGGAUGUCUAACCAAGAUGGUUUUGGGGGCUUCUUUCUUUUAUUGCUACAAGACCCUCCCUCCAAAGGAACAGAGGAGCCAGUCUUCCUUGACGGAAUGAGGCGACAGCACAGGCUUCCCGAUUUCUAAGCAAAGGCCGCCACCUGGUGGCUCACCUGCCACACUACAGCUCCUUGCCAUUAUUGCUAGGCUGGCUUUAGGCCAAAAGCUCUCAGAACUUGGAAAGGACUGUCCAAGGUGCCCAGGGUCACAGUUGCCACCUGGAGGGCCAUGUGAUCCCUAGCCCUCCUUGGCACAAGGGUAAGUGCAAGGAAAGAUGUUGUCUUGCAAGACUGACCCACCAACAGAGUUCUUAUUUAUUUCUUUAUUGGUGUGUUUGCUUGCCUGUCUGUUUGAUGUCUUGCCUUUCUUCUAGUCUGGGACCCAAAGCAGAUCCAGUAUUAAUUCAUGGAUGGAGCUGGGGAGAUGUUUCAUGUAGUGUUCUACUUGGAUGUAAAGCUUAAUAAACCUCUUUCCAGCCCA